rnacentral:rRNA from 1 species
GGACGCAUAACUAUGCAUGUAGUUAUUUAUAUUGGUAGUUAAAAGAAAUUUAUUUCUUUUAUCGAAUAGUUAUGAAAGAAUCUGCUUUUAUUGUUUUUUUGAUAUAAUAUAUCAAAAAGAAAACUUUCGUGAGGCAUUUCUUUAGGGAUGCUUCUAACGAGAAGAAUGCAACCUCUUAAGAAGAUUCUUAAUGUGGCAACCGCGUGCGGUUAGAAUUUCUAUGAAUUUGUUGCUCAAUUAUAUGGGCGGACAAUAUAAAAACGAUUUUAUCGUAUAAAGUUCUAAAUAGUUUUUAUCCUUUGAUUAUGACAGAUAACUAUUUAUAUGUCUUGACCAAAGUAGGUGCCAGCAGUCGCGGUAAUACCUAUAAGACUAGUGUUAUUCAUCUUUAAUAGGUUUAAAGGGUACCUAGACGGUAAUAUAUGUCCUUGAGAUACUUAUAUACUAGAGUUAUAUGUAAGAAGGGGAGUAUUUAUGGAGUAAAGAUGAAAUUUGUUGAUACCAUAAGGACUGAUAAAGGCGAAGGCAACCUUUUAUGUAAUAACUGACGUUGAGGGACGAAGGCUCGGGUAACAAACAGGAUUAGAUACCCUAGUAGUCCAAGCAGAAAAUGAUAAAUGCUAUAGAUUGGAUGGUGCAACCAUUUUGUCUAUAAAUUAAAAUGUAAGCAUUUCACCUCAAGAGUAAUGUGGCAACGCAGGAACUGAAAUCAUUAGGCCGUUUCUGAAACCAGUAGUGGAGUAUGUUGUUUAAUUCGUAGUCACACGAAAAACCUUACCACAACUUGAAUAUUAUCUCUUAAGAUAUUACAAGUGUUGCACGGCUGUCUGCAGUUGAUGUCGUGAGGUCCGGGUAAACCACUAAUUAACGAAAACCCUUGUUGUAAUUUUGAUAUUUUCAUCAAAUACGGCA